rnacentral:rRNA from 1 species
CUUUUUGCCACCGGAGCUUGCUCCACCGGGAAAAAGAGGAGUGGCGAACGGGUGAGUAACACGUGGGUAACCUGCCCAUCAGAAGGGGAUAACACUUGGAAACAGGUGCUAAUACCGUAUAACAAUCGAAACCGCAUGGUUUUGAUUUGAAAGGCGCUUUCGGGUGUCGCUGAUGGAUGGACCCGCGGUGCAUUAGCUAGUUGGUGAGGUAACGGCUCACCAAGGCCACGAUGCAUAGCCGACCUGAGAGGGUGAUCGGCCACAUUGGGACUGAGACACGGCCCAAACUCCUACGGGAGGCAGCAGUAGGGAAUCUUCGGCAAUGGACGAAAGUCUGACCGAGCAACGCCGCGUGAGUGAAGAAGGUUUUCGGAUCGUAAAACUCUGUUGUUAGAGAAGAACAAGGAUGAGAGUAACUGUUCAUCCCUUGACGGUAUCUAACCAGAAAGCCACGGCUAACUACGUGCCAGCAGCCGCGGUAAUACGUAGGUGGCAAGCGUUGUCCGGAUUUAUUGGGCGUAAAGCGAGCGCAGGCGGUUUCUUAAGUCUGAUGUGAAAGCCCCCGGCUCAACCGGGGAGGGUCAUUGGAAACUGGGAGACUUGAGUGCAGAAGAGGAGAGUGGAAUUCCAUGUGUAGCGGUGAAAUGCGUAGAUAUAUGGAGGAACACCAGUGGCGAA